ACAUAAUAGUGCAGGUACUCGAACGAACUGCACAUCAUACAGUAGAGUAAAUUAUAAUUGUAUCCUAUGAGGAAACUCAAAUAUUUUCAGAUGUAAGAAGCUUGUUCGAAGACAAUACAUACUAAUACUGGACCACUUUCCCAGUUUCCCUGCACCAUAGCAUUUAAACUUGCCGCCAAUUCUGCUGGUAAAUGUCUCUUCCGGCCAUGAUCUUUUCUCACGUGCUCUACAUGUUUCACUUUGGAUCUCUGUUAUUAAGAAGUGCUAGUUAUCUUCUUUUUUAGGAGGUGAUAAUAUUUUAACUGCAUGCAGAUAAUUCCUGCCUAUGACAUUGAUUUAAGGUUAUGCUCGUUGAGCACAUGGUCAUGUCCAAAGCUUAUAUAUUUCAGGUUACGCUCAGGCAAAUUGUAGUUACUGCAUGACUUGAAUACCAUAGUUAUGCUGAACAUUGAAGUUAUCUUGUUGUUUCUUGCACGUAUAUUUAAAGCAGAAUGAAUAAAAUAAGUUUAUGAGGCCUAUACAUCAACUCUCUGCUCCACUGGUUUUUAAACCCUCCAUAACCCAAAUAUGUACAUGUUCUAUCCAUGCAUUCCUUCUGUUUUGCUUUUCUUGAUGUUAUUUGUCAGAUAUAAAAUGCUCAUGUCUAGCAUAUAUUGGGAAUUCAUUUUGAAAAAGUCAUGCAAACCUUUGCAGUAUUAACAGUUCUAAGACACUAAAAUGUUUACAUAUUGAUUGUCAACUGAGAUUUUGUAGGUUGGUCUUUUGAAGACUUUAUUAACUGUCCGGUUGAAGAAUAACAGAUCCACCAUCGAAAGAGGAUGAAAAAAGAAAGGGAGUCACAUAUAUGUCAGGAUCAAUGGGGAAACAGCACGGAUUGUCACAACAAGGUUGAGCAUAUAUUUUAAUGUUCACGCUGGUGAUGAUGCUAUAUAGAUUUUAUAUGUCAUACUUCCGGUUCUUACUUGGAUUUCAUCUGAGAAUUUUAGCAGACUUUUUGCCUUAUACAAGACAGGAAGGUGCUAUCUGAACUCUAGAUGAGCUUGUGCUAUUGCAGGUGCAUCAGCACACAUUUCAGUCCAAGGUGCCGAAUGGAGCGGUUUCUGCUGUUCCCCGGACAGGGCUUGUGAGAAAGGAUUCUCCAGCAAGAACUACUGUUCUCCACAGAUUUUGGCAGGAGACUUUGGUCUCUUGAGUUGAGAACAAAGCUGCCUCCUGCAUUUCUCCCGGAUUGUUGAGUAUAAUUUUGACCAUGCAAUUCUCAUUGUCGAACUCUUGUUGAGAGCUCUAUCCUUUGUUCCGGUGCAUGGAUGUCAUAUGAAAAAGCUAAUGUAACCAAGUAGCCGUUUUGGCUUUUCCACCAUCUGAUUCAUUGCAUUUCCAUUUGAUGUGGCUCUGGCGAUUGGUGAUUACGUGAAAUGGCAGCUCUGGUGACUGGAGAUCACAAAACUCCAUUAUCCAGGGUGAGUCCUGGAAAUAGACUCAUAUUUAGCGGAAGGGAAGAAAAAUCGCAGCGUUUGGAAGAGAAGCAUCUCAGUUAAUCUGGAAGUCCCCAGAUCGUGCAAUCAAGAAAAAAAGAAAAAAAGAAGGGUACUGCAUUCCUCUAGGUGAUUUGCGCUCUGCCAGAUUGCACCAAUGAAUCAAAUUUCCCGCACCUGUAAAACUUUCUCCCCAUCGUGCACCUCCUCAAAAAGCCCAAUAUGUCAG
rnacentral:lncRNA from 1 species